AUUGAACGCUGGCGGCAGGCCUAACACAUGCAAGUCGAACGAGUGGCGGACGGGUGAGUAAUGCCUGGGACACUGCCUGAUGGAGGGGGAUAACUACUGGAAACGGUAGCUAAUACCGCAUACCAUCAGAUGUGCCCAGAUGGGAUUAGCUUGUUGGUGGGGUAACGGCUCACCAAGGCGACGAUCCCUAGCUGGUCUGAAAGGAUGACCGGCGGCACUGGAGCGGAGACACGGUCCAGGGUCCUACGGGAGGGAGCAGUGGGGAAUAGUGCACAAUGGGCACAAGCCUGGUGCAGGCAUGCCGCGUGUAUGGAGAAGGCCUUCGGGUUGUAAAGUACUUUCAGCGGGGGGGCGUUACCCGCAGAAGAAGCACCGGCUAACUCCGUGCCAGCAGCCGCGGUAAUAC
rnacentral:rRNA from 1 species